GAUUAGAUUCACAGAAAAAAGAGUAAAAAUCUGAAAACCGGAAAAAACAAGCUAAGAAAAGCUAGGGCAAAUAAAGUAACAAAGAGCUGCUGGAUAGAGAAGACCGGGGAGGAAUUCAGCUCUCGCCUGUCCUGACUUUUGACUUCAGCUACGGGGACGCCGCCUCCGAUCGUCAUACAUUCGUCCACAAUCAGGCGGACAAUCAUACAUUUCUUCAGCUUGCUUGAAUGGAUCCGGUGACUGGUGAGCAAUUAGAUUAUGGAGAUGAGGAAUAUGCAGGAAGUCAAAAGAUGCAAUAUCAUCAAGGUGGAGCUAUUCCCGCACUUGCGGAGGAGGAAAUGAUUGGUGAAGAGGAUGAAUAUGAUGACCUCUAUAAUGAUGUUAAUGUUGGAGAGGGUUUCCUGCAGAUGCAGCGGUCUGAAGCACAAAUGCCUUCAGGUGUGGGGAAUGGUGGAUUCCAAGGUUCGAAAAGUAAUGUUCCUGGCAUUAGAGCAGAAGCAAUAGCCCCACAAGAGGUCACCAAUGCGAGAGUUACUAGUGAAGGGAAUUAUCUUCCUACUGGAGUCCAAUUUCCUGAGCAGAAGACUGCUUUCCCAGCUGCAGGAGGUCCUGCACAAACUGUGGAUGCUUCUCAAAGGGGAAGGCUCCCUGAAAUGGUACAUAAUUCUCAGCCAGGGCAUUUGGGAUAUCAAGGAUCAGUGUCCAUGCCCCAAAAGACUGCUGCAGACCGGAUGAACAAGCCAGAAAAAAUUGUUGGUGAGCCUGCACCAUCACCUAACCCUAACAUGGGCAGCUCAAAAGGUGGUCCCCAGAUUCCUACCACUAUGAUGAAUUCAAGUGCAAAUGUCAAUAUAAAUCGUCCAGUAGAUGAUGAAUACCUGAUAAGGCCAGCUGUAGAAAAUGGAAAUACUAUGCUCUUUGUAGGAGAGUUGCAUUGGUGGACAACCGAUGCUGAGCUUGAGAGUGUGCUCAUUCAAUAUGGGAAAGUUAAGGAGAUCAAAUUUUUUGAUGAAAGGGCUAGUGGUAAAUCCAAAGGCUAUUGCCAAGUUGAAUUUUAUGAUCCCGCUGCUGCAGCUGCAUGCAAGGAAGGUAUGCAUGGUCAUCUAUUUAAUGGGCGAGCUUGUGUGGUGGCAUUUGCCACUCCACAAACCAUAAAACAGAUGGGUUCUUCUUACAUGAACAAGACCCAAACCCAGGGUCAAUCCCAGCAGCAGGGGAGGAACCUCAUUAAUGAUGGAGCAGGAAGAGGCAAUGGGACGAAUUAUCCUAGUGGAGAUACAGGAAGGAAUUUUGGACGAGGUGGGUGGGGAAGAGGAGGGAACCAAGUUCCUAACAAGGGUCCAGGUCCUGGACCUGUAAGAGGUAGAGGAGGAAUGGGGAACAAGAAUAUGAUUGGAAAUGCACCUGGUGCUGGUGGAGGAGCCUAUGGACAAGCUGGCCUUGCUGGCCCUGGUUUUGGCGGACCUCCUGGGAUGAUGCAUCCUCAGGGCAUGAUGGGUCCUGGUUUUGACCUAGCAUUUAUGGGUCGAGGGGGUGGUUAUGCUGGUUUCUCUGGUCCUGCUUUCCCAGGGAUGCUUCCUCCAUAUCCAGCUGUUAAUUCAAUGGGCCUUCCUGGAGUGGCUCCUCAUGUCAACCCUGCUUUCUUUAGUCGAGGAAUGGCUCCAAAUGGAAUGGGUAUGAUGGGGACGACAGGGAUGGAUGGUCCUCAUUCUGGUAUGUGGCCUGACAUGAACCUGGGUGGAUGGGGAGGGGAAGAACAUGGCAGGGGAACCAGAGAGUCUAGUUAUGGUGGUGAAGAUAAUGCUUCUGAAUACGGCUAUGGAGAGGCAAGUCAUGAAAAAGGCGUAAGGUCCAGUGCUGCUUCUCGGGAAAAGGAGAGGAACUCUGAGCGUGAUUGGUCCAGUAACCCUGAGAAGAGGCAUCGGGAAGAGAGAGAUCAUGAUGGGGACAGGUAUGAUAGGGACCACAAAUACAGGGAAGAGAAGGAUCGCCACCGGGACUAUCGCCAUAAAGAUCGUGACUUGGGUUAUGAUGAUGAUUGGGAUAGAGGACAAUCUUCAAGAUCCCGUAGCAGAUCACGUGCAGUGCCUGGAGAUGAUCACAGGUCUCGAUCUAGGGAUGCUGAUUAUGGGAAAAGGAAACGCAUGCCAUCUGAGUGAUGUGAUCAGAACGAGUCUUGUACGGAUCCAAAAGUCCCCUUCACUGAUUUGCAUUAUCGAUCUUAAUCAUCUGAAGGAUCGCCAACUCUGUCUUGUAUAUGUUGGCUCACAUGCUAUGUGGCCUCUGACUUCGAAGAAGAGCAGAGAACCAUUAAUUGGUGCUUUCUUGGAUAUCCUGAAAUGCAUAAAACAAUGUAGCGAGCAAAGAAGCCUUAGUCAUAUUUUCAAUUGCUUUGUGUUCCUCAUGCAUGUACCAGUCUUUGAACGAUGCUCCUGGAAGGAAUUAUAUGAAAAGUAACCUUAAUUCUCAAAGAAUACUUUUGAGUGGAAUAUCCACUACACAGUAGUAUAUAUUAGCUGUUUGUUGUAUUUUCCAUGUAAUAGGUUCCUCACUUGUAACAAUUUCACAUGUUAAUGUUAUCUCUGAUCUUGUAAUUAUUGUACAAGUCUUCCGACCAAGUGUUGGUCGUGCAUGAUGGUGAUGUAAUUAGGGUUGCAGAACUUAUAAGCUGUAAUCUUGGAGACAUUGUGCAUGUUUGUAAUGAAGGGUUUGCAGUUUCCUGAUGCUA